GUUCAUUCAUUUAUUUAUUUUUAGCAGAAACUCAUUAUUAACAAAGCAAGCUUUAUAGUAAGAAUUUGUUCAAGGCAGAUUCAUACAUAAUUGUAUAUUUUGUAACUGCAGCCAUUUCACAGCAAAAGUUCAAACAUAACUUUCAUUUUCUGACUUCUAAUUAAAGGUUGAUAAUGAAACUGUAUAUAACUUGACUGUUUUACUCCUCAUUAAUGAUGCUGAACUCAGAACUGCUACUGUGACAUUCUGUACCACUGCCUGUAAUAACUGCACUGUGUAUACACUGCACUGCACAUUGCUUUUCAGUCAAGUAAACAAUUGCUCUUUCAAGCCACAAAAACGCACAUCUGCUCUCAAGGAGACAUGCAUUUUGCUGCAUCAUUAAAAAAAAAUGUGCAGCCUAUGAUAUCAAAAGACUAAACGUAUGCAAAUACCACCACCUCAUCGGAGAAAAAUGUACAAAUGAUUGAAAAUAUUUUCCCGCUUUAUAUAGCAACAUAUUAACAGAGAAUCAUCCCACACAGGCCUGGGACAUCCCACGUUUCAGAAGAUUCCACACAAACCUGCCACUCAGCGGGAGACUUCUCCUACCAGCUAGACCAAACCAAAAUGACCCGAGAUGUUUUUAAUGAAGACUCUCCAUAAAGCCCAGAAAAUCAGCAGAUCUCUGAUCACCUUUACGUUCUUAGACGCCCUGCACUUACUGACAGAGGUGUUGAAAAGCACAAACGACUACAGAUCUGAUCCCAAGUCUAUUUCACAGGAGAGUCUCAUCAAUACUUUCAUGAAGGUUAGUUGGCUCUUUGUGUAUAAAUUGGAAUAUAUUUAACGGUAUAGUCAUUUCUUUAUUUUGUAUAUGUUAUCCUUAGGGACUCUGAUGCUUGCUUAUACUUGAAUUUUGAUAGUAUGUUAGGCUGGUCGCGUUUGAGCCAGUAGAAGGUGUAAAUGCUUGUACAGGAUUUUUACCCACAAACCCUGCCUGGCACCCAUCCACUUAAAUCUUGUGAAACCCUUGUGUGGCGUGCCAUGUGAAAAUGGUGGCAGCGGGACGCACAGCUUGGUAGGGCGCGAACGAGCACGGCGGUUUGUGCGGGGCCGGCCGCGGCUGCGCUUCUACCGAGGCGGCUGCGGCCUCCCGGGGCUCUAGCUGGGCCGUUCCCCGGAGAACGCCACUCCAUAAAAAAAAAAAAAAAAAAACCAACAGUUAAAACCGAGAAGCAAACACAAAGGAGAAGGUCGCAGACCUACCUCUCCCCACCACAGCAGCGAGUCAGCCGGCCUGCCUGGGGAUAGGGGGGGCCGAGGCGGAGAGCCGGCCGCCGCAGCCCUCCUCACCACAAGGCGCGACCCCCCUCCCUUCGCUACCUGCUGAGGAAAAGAGAAACGGGGGGAGAAGGGCACGCUUCUCCUCCGGCAGAGCACUUAACGUCAAGC
rnacentral:lncRNA from 1 species